AUGAUUGCGCAUUCCAAGUGCGAAUGUGAGGAAAGUCCGAGCUCCAUAGGGCAGAGUGCAAGCUAACGGCUUGUGGAGGCGACUCUAAGGAUAGUGCAACAGAAAUAUACCGCCUGUCAAAGACAGGUAAGGGUGGAAAGGCGAGGUAAGAGCUCACCCGCCGGUAUGGCGACUUACCGGUGAUGUAAACCCCACUCGGAGCAACACCUGAAUCGGAGGUUAAGCCUGCCCGGCAUCUCCGGAGAUUGGUGGCUUGAGGCGUAUGGUGACAUACGUUCGAGAUAGAUAAUCAUCUGAUACAGAACUCGGCUUAUGU
rnacentral:RNase_P_RNA from 1 species